UAAGGAAUAUUGGUCAAUGGACGCAAGUCUGAACCAGCCAUGCCGCGUGGAGGAUGACUGCCCUCUGGGUUGUAAACUCCUUUUAUCUGGGAAGAAACCUAUACAUUCUUGUGUAGUUGACGGUACCAGAGGAAUAAGCACCGGCUAACUCCGUGCCAGCAGCCGCGGUAAUACGGAGGGUGCAAGCGUUAUCCGGAUUCACUGGGUUUAAAGGGUGCGUAGGUGGGUAGGUAAGUCAGUGGUGAAAUCCCCGAGCUUAACUUGGGAACUGCCGUUGAUACUAUCUAUCUUGAAUAUCGUGGAGGUAAGCGGAAUAUGUCAUGUAGCGGUGAAAUGCUUAGAUAUGACAUAGAACACCCAUUGCGAAGGCAGCUUACUACACGAUCAUUGACACUGAGGCACGAAAGCGUGGGGAGCAAACAG
rnacentral:rRNA from 1 species